rnacentral:rRNA from 1 species
CCUACGGGGCGCAGCAGUGGGGAAUCUUCCGCAAUGGGCGAAAGCCUGACGGAGCAACGCCGCGUGAUCGAAUGAAGGCCUUCGGGUUGUAAAGAUCUGUUGACAGGGACGAAUAAGCAAUGCGAAUAGUUUUGUGUAUGACGGUACCUGUUUAGAAAGCUCCGGCUAACUACGUGCCAGCAGCCGCGGUAAUACGUAGGGAGCAAGCGUUGUCCGGAAUGACUGGGCGUAAAGGGUGUGUAGGCGGUGUAGCAAGUUAGAAGUGAAAUACCUAGAGCUUAACUCAGGUGCUGCUUCUAAAACUG